GGGGGGGGGGGGGGGGGGGGGGGGGGGGUGGGGGGCGGGGGGGCGGGCGGGGGGGGGGGGGGGCGGGUGUUGGCGGCGGGCGGGUGGGGAACGCGUGGAUAGCCUACCUCUAAGAGUGGGAUAACUUCGGGAAACCGGAGCUAAUACCGGAUGAUAUUUUGAACCGCAUGGUUCAAAAGUGAAAGACGGUCUUGCUGUCACUUAUAGAUGGAUCCGCGCUGCAUUAGCUAGUUGGUAAGGUAACGGCUUACCAAGGCAACGAUGCAUAGCCGACCUGAGAGGGUGAUCGGCCACACUGGAACUGAGACACGGUCCAGACUCCUACGGGAGGCAGCAGUAGGGAAUCUUCCGCAAUGGGCGAAAGCCUGACGGAGCAACGCCGCGUGAGUGAUGAAGGUCUUCGGAUCGUAAAACUCUGUUAUUAGGGAAGGACAUAUGUGUAAGUAACUGUGCACAUCUUGACGGUACCUAAUCAGAAAGCCACGGCUAACUACGUG
rnacentral:rRNA from 1 species